rnacentral:rRNA from 1 species
UAGCGACCGGCGCACGGGUGAGUAACACGUAUCCAACCUGCCGAUGACUCGGGGAUAGCCUUUCGAAAGAAAGAUUAAUACCCGAUGGCAUAGUUCUUCCGCAUGGUAGAACUAUUAAAGAAUUUCGGUCAUCGAUGGGGAUGCGUUCCAUUAGGUUGUUGGCGGGGUAACGGCCCACCAAGCCUUCGAUGGAUAGGGGUUCUGAGAGGAAGGUCCCCCACAUUGGAACUGAGACACGGUCCAA